rnacentral:rRNA from 1 species
UACGUAGGGCGCAAGCGUUGUCCGGAAUUAUUGGGCGUAAAGAGCUCGUAGGCGGCUUGUCACGUCGGGUGUGAAAGCCCGGGGCUUAACCCCCGGGUCUGCAUUCGAUACGGGCUGGCUGGAGUGUGGUAGGGGAGACUGGAAUUCCUGGUGUAGCGGUGAAAUGCGCAGAUAUCAGGAGGAACACCGGUGGCGAAGGCGGGUCUCUGGGCCGAUACUGACGCUGAGGAGCGAAAGCGUGGGGAGCGAACAGG